rnacentral:rRNA from 1 species
GAUGAACGCUGGCGGCGUGCCUAAUACAUGCAAGUCGAGCGAACAGAUGAGGAGCUUGCUCCUCUGACGUUAGCGGCGGACGGGUGAGUAACACGUGGAUAACCUACCUAUAAGACUUGGAUAACUUCGGGAAACCGGAGCUAAUACCGGAUAAUAUAUUGAACCGCAUGGUUCAAUAGUGAAAGACGGUUUUGCUGUCACUUAUAGAUGGAUCCGCGCCGCAUUAGCUAGUUGGUAAGGUAACGGCUUACCAAGGCAACGAUGCGUAGCCGACCUGAGAGGGGGAUGGGCCACACUGGAACUGGGACACGGUACAGACUCCUACGGGAGGCAGAAGUAGGGAAUCGUCCGAAAUGGGCGAAAGCCUGAAGGAGCAACGCAGCGUGAGUGAUGAAGGUCUUCGGAGCGUAAAACUCUGUUAUUAGGGAAGAACAAAUGUGUAAGUAACUAUGCACGUCUUGACGGUACCUAAUCAGAAAGCCACGGCUAACUACGUG